rnacentral:rRNA from 1 species
GUGUCAGCAGCCGCGGUAAGACGAACCGUGCGAACGUUAUUCGGAAUCACUGGGCUUAAAGCGCGUGUAGGCGGGUCGGCGCGUCGGACGCUGAAAUCCCCCGGCUCAACCGGGGAAGGGGCGCCGAUACGGCCGGCCUGGAGGGACGUAGGGGGGGCUGGAACUUCCGGUGGAGCGGUGAAAUGCGUUGAGAUCGGAAGGAACGCCCGUGGCGAAAGCGAGCCCCUGGACGUCUACUGACGCUGAGACGCGAAAGCCAGGGGAGCGAACGGGAUUAGAUACCCCGGUAGUCC